rnacentral:misc_RNA from 1 species
CCUCCUUUCUAAGGAAAGUGUAAGAUUAAUUGCCGCCGUCUUUGUAUCUCUUCUUCUCGAACAUAUAAGUUAUAGUUUUGCUACAGCUAGAGGCGCGUAGCUCAGUUGGUUAGAGCGCACGACUGAUAAUCGUGAGGUCGGCAGUUCAAAUCUGCCCGUGCCUACCAAUUUUUAUAAUGGUGUUAAUGUAUUUUAAAAUUCACGCAGUUUUCUUUUUGUUAGACAGUCUGUUUGAAAUAGUUGGUGAAGAUGAUCCCAAAUAAUAGGGUAAUAUUAGUUAAUAUUAUCCAGCUUACGGAUUGUACUUUUAAUAUUUAUCAAGAUUAAAUUUUAAAAAGUAGUAAUGGUUGUCUGACCGGUUACUACUUUCAUGUACGGUCCGAUCAAGCG